GACGAACGCUGGCGGCGUGCUUAACACAUGCAAGUCGAACGAUGAAGCUGUAGCUUGCUCCAGUGGAUUAGUGGCGAACGGGUGAGUAACACGUGAGCAAUCUGCCCUUGACUCUGGGAUAACUGCGGGAUACUGUAGCUAAUACCGGAUAUGACACCUUGGUGCAUCCCGAGGUGUGGAAAGAAUUUCGGUCAAGGAUGAGCUCGCGGCCUAUCAGCUUGUUGGUGAGGUAACGGCUCACCAAGGCGACGAGGGGUAGCCGGCCUGAGAGGGUGACCGGCCACACGGGACCUGGGACACGGUACAGAAUCCCACGGGAGGGAGCAGUGGGUAAUAUUGCACAAGGGGCGGAAGCCUGAUGCAGCAACGCCGCGUGAGGGAUGACGGCCUUCGGGUUGUAAACCUCUUUUAGCAGGGAAGAAGCGAAAGUGACGGUACCUGCAGAAAAAGCACCGGCUAACUACGUGCCAGCAGCCGCGGUAA
rnacentral:rRNA from 1 species